rnacentral:rRNA from 1 species
ACACGUAGGGCGCAAGCGUUGUCCGGAUUUAUUGGGCGUAAAGGGCUCGUAGGCGGUUUCGUAAGUCGGGUGUGAAAACUCAGGGCUCAACCCUGAGACGCCACUCGAUACUGCGAUGACUUGAGUCCGGUAGGGGAGCAGGGAAUUCCUGGUGUAGUGGUGAAAUGCGCAGAUAUCAGGAGGAACACCAUUAGCGAAGGCGCUGCUCUGGGCCGGUACUGACGCUGAGGAGCGAAAGCAUGGGGAGCAAACAGGAUUAGAUACCCUAGUAGUCC